rnacentral:rRNA from 1 species
GAUGAACGCUAGCGGCAGGCUUAACACAUGCAAGUCGAGGGGCAGCAUAAACAUUGCUUGCAAUGUUUGAUGGCGACCGGCGCACGGGUGCGUAACGCGUAUGCAACCUACCUGUAACAGGGGGAUAACACUGAGAAAUUGGUACUAAUACCCCGUAACAUCAAAGAGGGCAUCCUUUUUGGUUGAAAGUUCCGGCGGUUACAGAUGGGCAUGCGUUGUAUUAGCUAGUAGGUGAGGUAACGGCUCACCUAGGCGACGAUACAUAGGGGUUCUGAGAGGAAGGUCCCCCACACUGGAACUGAGACACGGUCCAGACUCCUACGGGAGCAGCAGUGAGGAAUAUUGGUCAAUGGUCGAGAGACUGAACCAGCCAUGCCGCGUGAAGGUCACGGCCCUAUGGGUCUUAAACUUCUUUUGUAA